CGAACGCUGGCGGCGUGCCUAAUACAUGCACGUCGAGCGGACGAUUCGAAAGCUUGCUUUUGAAUCGUUAGCGGCGGACGGGUGAUUAACACGUGGGCAACCUGCCCUGUAGACGGGGAUAACACCGAGAAAUCGGUGCUAAUACCGGAUAACACGAAAUGUCGCAUGACGUUUCGUUGAAAGGCGGCGCAAGCUGCCGCUACAGGAUGGGCCCGCGGCGCAUUAGCUAGUUGGUGAGGUAACGGCUCACCAAGGCGACGAUGCGUAGCCGACCUGAGAGGGUGAUCGGCCACACUGGGACUGAGACACGGCCCAGACUCCUACGGGAGGCAGCAGUAGGGAAUCUUCCGCAAUGGACGAAAGUCUGACGGAGCAACGCCGCGUGAGCGAAGAAGGCCUUCGGGUCGUAAAGCUCUGUUGUUAGGGAAGAACAAGUAACGUAGUAACUGACGUUACUAUGACGGUACCUAACGAGAAAGCCACGGCUAACCACGUG
rnacentral:rRNA from 1 species